GUACGGGAGGCAGCAGUGGGGAAUUUUCCGCAAUGGGCGAAAGCCUGACGGAGCAAUCUCGCGUGAGGGAUGACGGCCUAUGGGUUGUAAACCUCUUUUUUCAGGGAGGAACAAAAUGACGUGUACCUGAAGAAUAAGCAUCGGCUAACUCCGUGCCAGCAGCCGCGGUAAGACGGAGGAUGCAAGUGUUAUCCGGAAUCACUGGGCGUAAAGCGUCUGUAGGUGGUUUGAUAAGUCAACUGUUAAAUCUUGAAGCUCAACUUCAAAAUCGCAGUCGAAACUAUUAGACUAGAGUAUAGUAGGGGUAAAGGGAAUUUCCAGUGGAGCGGUGAAAUGCGUAGAUAUUGGAAAGAACACCGAUGGCGAAGGCACUUUACUGGGCUAUUACUGACACUCAGAGACGAAAGCUAGGGUAGCAAAUGGGAUUAGAUACCCCGGUAGUCC
rnacentral:rRNA from 1 species